CCUACGGGUGGCAGCAGUGAGGAAUAUUGGUCAAUGGCCGGAAGGCUGAACCAGCCAAGCCGCGUGAAGGACGAAGGUGCCAAGCAUUGUAAACUUCUUUUGUCAAGGGACAAAAUCAGGCUCGAGAGCCUGACCGAGGGUACUUGAAGAAAAAGCAUCGGCUAACUCCGUGCCAGCAGCCGCGAUAAUACGGAGGAUGCGAGCGUUAUCCGGAUUUAUUGGGUUUAAAGGGUGCGUAGGCGGGCUGUUAAGUCAGCGGGAAAAGCCCGGGGCUCAACCCCGGCGAGCCGUUGAAACUGGGUGUCUUGAGAUGUCGAGAGGUAGGCGGAAUGCGCAGUGUAGCGGUGAAAUGCUUAGAUAUUGCGCAGAACUCCGAGUGCGAAGGCAGCAUACCGGCGGCGAUCUGACGCUGAGGCACGAAAGCGUGGGUAUCGAACAGGAUUAGAUACCCUAGUAGUC
rnacentral:rRNA from 1 species